ensembl:lncRNA
UCUGCAGUCUGUAGGUGGCUCGUCUGCAGUCGCAGUCGCAGCUCCAGCUCGAACCUCGCGACGGCCGGUCUUCGCGCGGCCUCGGCUCCGGCCCCGGCCUCAGCCUCCCGGCGCGGCUCGCAGCGGCGGCGGCGGCGGCUCCCGCUCGACGGCCCCGGGCCGCCCCAGCACCCCGGACAGCGGCGCCUCCUGCCGGGACCCGGCCGUCUCCCCCCAUCCCCGCCGGGCUCGCGGCCCGCUGCCCUGAGGGCCCCAGGUACUGGACAGGCUGGAGGGGGGAAAGGGUGAACCUGGCGAGGUUUCGGCCGGUCUUAAAGAGCCUCGCGGCCCAACUCGUUCGUGCUCUUUCCUCACUCCUCCUAUCCAAUACAGCCCAGUGGGCAUUUAUUAACCACCUACUAUGUGCGAGGGCUUGGGGUGGCUCACCCCUCCCCCUCGAAGGCGGCCAUGCGGCAGGUACGCAGAUAAGUAUUUCCUUGAUGAAUAUAGUAGAUGCUUAAUAAAUGCUUGUUGAAUGAGUGAGUAGACGAACGAACGAACGAAUGAAUGAAUGAAUGAAUGAACAGGUAGGCUGCAGCUAGAUGGCGAACGGCUGGUCCGGGGCGGAGCACUGUGCAAUGGAAAGAAUGUGGACGGGGCUGUCUCACCUGAUCCUCACAACCACCCUGGGAGGUUUAACUGUUAGUAAUAUACAAAAGGUGGAUGAUUUUUGUGGAUUCAUUUCAUAUUCUACUUUGAUGCUGAUUAAGUAAGCCAUCAUGUCAUCUGCAAAUAGGGCCACGUCCAUCAGACUUGAUCAUCAUAUAGUGUUGUUGUUGAAGUAUAUAAUGAUCUCCUGGUUCUGCUCAUUUCAAGAAAACUUUAUUGAGAGUUUCUAAGUGGCAGGCAAUGUGCCGGCAACUCUGAGCACUCAGUGUAUCUCCAGGGUAAAUGGAAGAGAAUCUUGAGAGGCAGAUGGUGACAUUGGAGCUAGGACUGGAAACAAGCCAGGUAAGCUGGGACACUGACAUCGGUGUCCAAGACUAAGCCAGGUUGACAGUCACAGAAAAUGUCAUCUGAGAAUGGCGUAGCUUCGAGAGGAACACCAAGGGAGGUUGGCCCCGGGUGGAGCAGACAGAGCGUGGAGCAAGGUCACUUGGCAGCAGUUGGAAAGGCUGACUUCAGAAAAGCCUGGAGAGACUUACAUGAAUUGAUGCUGAGUGAAGUGAGCAGAACCAGGAGAACAUCGUACACGGUAACAGCAAGACUGUGUGACAAUCAACCUCGGCGGAAUUGGCUCUUCUCAGAAGUGUGGUGAUCCAAGACAAUUCCAGUUUACUUGGGAUGGAAAAGGCCACCUUGGGGACUGAAUUUGGAUCAAAGCAUACUAUGUAAUUGUUUUUUUCUCAUGGUUUCCCUUUUGAUUUUUCUUUCACAACAUGGAAACAUGUUUAGAAUGAUUGUACAUGUAUAACCUAUGUUAGAUUGCUUGCUAUCUUGGAGAGGGAGAAAAGUUUUUGUAACUCAAAAUCUUAAAGAAGUGAAUGUUGAAAACUAUCUUAACAUGUAAUUGGAAAAUAAAAUACUGUUAAGUAAAAAAAAGUGAGAGUGAGACUAGAUGAGAAUUCAGUAUAAAUUCCUGAAACUUAACUAAAAAUAUCAUUGGCAACAGAAAGUAAAAAAACUGGGAGAGCAAAUAGGAGUUUGAGAGAGAGUAAAAGAAAUUGAGAAAUGCAGGGGAAAGAGAAACAAUGGAAUAGAGAGAAAAUAAGAUGGAGGAGUAUAGAAGAGACAAAGUGAAAGACAAGUAGGGAAUGAGCAAAAGAUUAACAGUAGAAGUAGAGAAAGAAUGAGAGAGACAAACAAAAGCGGAGUGGGGGGAGAGAGAGUAAGAAGUAGUGAGAAAAAGAGGGAGAAUGGGAGGACAAGACAGAAAGAGAGAUGGAGAUAGGGAAUGAGAAAAAGAAUGAGAGGAUGACAAAGAGAAAGAAAACUUAGGAAAACAGUGAUUUUUUUUUAAAAAAAAAAGGACAGAAUGUGAGAGAGCCAUAGAAAUAACAGGAGAGGAAAAAGGAGGAGAGACAGAGAAAGCCCAAAACAGAAUGAAAUAGAAAAUGAGAGUGAUACAGAGAGAGUGAGAAAUGGGAAGAAAAUUAGAGGGAAAGAAAAAUAGUAGAAUAGAGAAAAAAGGGAGAUAGAACAAGAGAAAUAAAAAGAAAGACAGACACAGUGAAAGAGAAUAAAAGAUUGGAGAGGGAAAAGGGGAAAGAGUGGGAUAGGAGAGUGUGUGAGAUUGGAUUAUUAGCUUACAAUUUCUCAAUCCUUACAAAUGAGUGAGUCAAAGAGCAAAUUUUAGGAUGGAUAAUUUCAUUAAAGAUAAUGACAACAAUGAGCCAACAUAUGUGAACUGAUCCAGCCAUUCUUGAAAACAAUUGAGAACUUUGCCCAAAGGGCUAUCAAACUGUGCAUACCCUUUGAUCCAGCAGAGUCACUACUAGAUUUGUAUCCCAAAGAAAUCAUAAAAGAGGGGAUGGGACCCCCGUGUGCAAAAACAGCACCUUUUUCUGUGGUGGCAAAGAAAUGGAAAAUGAGGGGAUGCCCAUUGGUUGGAGAAUGGCUGAAUAAGUGAAUAAGAUAUAUGAUUGUAAUGGAAUAUUAUUGUUCUAUAAAAAAUGAUGAUUUCGGGGAGACUUACCUGAACUGAUGCUGAGUGAAGUAAGCUGAACCAGGACAAUAUUGUACACAGCAACAAGAUUAUGUGAUGAUCAACUAUGAUUGAUUUAGCUCUUCUAAGCAAUGCACUGAUCCAAGACAAUUGUGAAUUCAGAGAGAAUUAUGGAGACUGAAUGUAGAUAGAAGCAUAUUAUUUUCAUCUUUUUCCUUUUUCUUUCUCAUGGUUUUCCCCUUUCAUUCUGAUUUUUCUUUCAUAACAUGACUACUAUGUUUAAAAUGAUUAUACAUGUAUAAAUUAUAUCACAUUGCUUGCUGUCCUGGGGAGGAUAAACGGGAAGGAGAAAAAUAUUUGGAAUGAGACAAUGUACCAAAAUUUAUGUGAAACAGCCAAAAUAGUACCAAAUGGAAAAUUUAUGUUUCUAAAUACUUACAUCAAUAAAAUAGAGAAAGAGAUGGAUGAAAUGCAUAUGCAACUAAAAACUAGCAAAAAAUUAAAAAUCCUGAAAAUCAAAGGAAAGAUUAGUAAAAAUUGAAAACAAUAAAAGCACUUAACUAAUAAAACUAAGAGAUGUAUUCAUGGAAAAAAAACCCAACAAAAUAGAGAAAACAUUGGUUAGUUUGAAUUUUAAAAAGAAGAAAAUCAAAUUACCAGUAUCAAAAAUGAAAAGGGUGAAUUCACCACCACUGAAGAUGAAAUUAAAGCAAUUAUUAGGAGCUAUUUUGCCCAAUUAUAUCAACAAAUCUAACCAUCUAAAUGAUUUUUCUCUCUUUCUCAUCUUUUUCAAGAAUGAAAGAGAAAAAUUGCGAGAAAUAAAUGAGAUUGGAAGAAAUAUGAAAGUGAGAAACAAUAAGGGAGUGAGAGAGAAUGAGAAAAAGAAAAAAGGUGUAUUCUUGAAAGAAGAAAGAAUGGGACAGUGAGGCAAAAAUAAGAGAAAAAAGAAUGGGAGAGAAAAGCAAAGUAAAAAAGAGUGGGAGACAGAGCCAGGGAAAGAGAGAAAGAAAAAUGGAGAGUGAGAGAAAAGAAAAAUAGACAAAGCUUUGGAGACAGGGAAGGGAGCAAAAGAGACAGAAAAAGUGAAGAAAACAGGGAGCAUAAAAUAAAGAGAUAAGGGCAGAGUGAGGAAAAGGGAAAGCAUGAGUCAAAGUGUGGCAGAAAGAAAGAAAAAGAGAUGUUGGUGAAAGAGAAAUUCUGUGAGUGGAAUACAGAGAAAAAAGGAGAGAGGAAGAGAAAGAAGCAGAGAGCAUGAGUGGGAAAAACAAUUAGAAAUUCUCUUAUUUUUAUGCCAACAAAACUGAAGAUAAAAUGAAAUGGGUGAAUAUUUAUAAAAGUAUAAAAUGGAGGAAAUAACAAAUAUAAACAAUCUUAUCUCAGAGAAUCUGAGUAAAUCAUAAAUGAAAUCCAAGGAAAAAUUCCUAGUUUAAUUAUGAAUUAUAUCACACAUUUAAAGAACAGUUAAUCAUUCUGCUAUGUAAGCUGUUCACAAAGUAAUAGAGCAAGAUGCCACCUUUACCAAAUUCCUUCUAUGAGAAAAAUAUGGUCCUGACAAACUAAAUUAGGGAUAAAGCUAAUAAAGAAAAAUACACACCAAUAUCACUAAUUAUUUAGUUAACCAAGCAGGUAUAAUAUAUUAAAAAUUAUUCACUAUGAUCAAUUUAGAUUUAUACCAGAAGUAUAAGGUUGGCUCAGAAAUGCCAUAUAUUUGAAAAACUACGCAUUUAUAACACAUCAUAUUAAUAAAUCACAUAAUCAUUUCAGUUCGGAGGGGAAAAAAAGCCUCGGGGAAAAUAUACUUUUAUUUCUGAUAUCCAGUGAGAAUAUUAAUUAUGUUUUUUUAAUAUCUGUAAAAUCAGGAACUAGUUUUUAUUUGUAACAGAAUAACACCAUAGUCUUUCCCAGUAAGAUAAUACAAGAUUCCUCACUGUCUCUGUUAUUAUUUGAAUACCUUUCUAGAAAUGCUCCUAUAGCACUGACAAUGAAAAGUAGCUCAGGGAGAACAAAUCCAUCAAGGGAGAAGAAUAUCCCUUCUAUUGGCAGAUAAUAUGAUGUUUACUUUAAGAAUUAUGGGGUUUCAGAAAAAACACUCAUCAAAAUGACAGCCCCAGUAAAGUUGUAAGAUAUAAAAUGAAACUACAAGUUGUCACCUUUUGUCUACAUCACUUACAAUCCAAGAGGAAGAGAUGGACAGAAAAACUCUACUAAAUCCUCUGUGAUGCAUUAAAAAAUGGAUUUAAGAGACUGAGACACGGUUAAGAGUGAUCUAAACUCUGCCAUAAAGCACUGCUGAGUGUUUUAUGAGUAAAGUACAUUGGAGAGAGAUUCAUUACUCAUGGUUGGAGCGUGUCAAAAUGUUUUAAAAAAUUGUGAUGACAUUUAAAUUAAUUCAUAAAUUGAGUUUUUUUUUCAAGCAAUAUAUUACCAAGGCGUUCCUGUAUAGGACCAUAUAAGUCAUAAUGAAAGUUCAUUAAUUUCAAGGGAAAUAGUGGGAAAAAAUAAUAAUGAAGGGAGCUUAGCAUUAUCAAAUCUCAGAUGAUAGUAUGAAGCAGUAAUCAUCUAUUUGAAUGGUUUAUAUGGUUUAAGAAAAGGACUAGAGAAAUGGGACUUAGGAGUAAAGGAUACAGUCGUUCAGUGUUUUAUAAACCCAAAGAUAUUGAUAUCAUGGAUAUGGUAGAUAGAAGAGUUCUUGGGAAAUCACAUUGGACUAGCAUUUUAUACCACGUAAUCGUCAUAAGCCUGAAAUGGAUGUAUGACAGUAAUAUAAAAGGUCAUAGCACCAAAAAUUAAGAGUAAAGGUUCCAUAUAUACCAAAAUAUUCCUAAUUUUUUUUCCUUAACAGAAAAUUCUCCAAAUAAAAUUAGUCCUUGUCUCUUAGGAAACGGAUAAACAAAAUGUGAUAUGAAUGUAGUACGAUAUUAUUUAAUGUAAAAAAAAUGACUAUAAAAUUCAGAAACUUGGGCAGACUUGUAUGAACCUUGGGAACAUUAAUGAUAGUAAUUAUAAUUUCAAUAGUACUUUAAAGUUUACAGAAUUCUUUGGAAAUGUGAUCUCACUUUAUCCUCACAACUCUAAAAAGUUUGAAUAGUUAUCAAAAUAGAAAAUGCCCAGAUUCACAGAACAAGAAGUAAAGGGCUGAAAUAACAGUUCAUAAAAAGAAAUGAAACAAGCCAUAAAUGACUUCCAAAAAGGGAGAGAGGACCUUAGACUUUAUAAGUAAAUUUGAUUAUUCAGAAAAAAGAGUCCAUGGUGUUGUUAACCUAAACCAAGAAAAGUAAAAACAGAAAGAAAACUAUGGAUCAAUAUCCCUAAUGAACACGGAUGCAAAACAAGGUGGAAAUGAAGGGAAAAGACCUUAUGUAUAAAAAAGUAUUUAUAGCAGUUCUCUUUGUGGUGACAGAACCAACAAAAUGGAAACUAAGGGCGUGAGAAUGAUUUGGAGAAUGGGUAAACAAACAAUGCUAUUUGAAUGUGCUGUUAUUCAGCCAUUUUUCUGUCAUGUCGGAUUCUCUGUGACCCAGUUUGGGGUUUUCUUGGCAAAGAUACUGAUUGGCCAUUUCCUUCUCCAGCUCAUUUUACAGAUGAGGAAAUUGAGGCAAACAGGGUGAAGUGACUUGCCCAGGCUCACACAGUUAGUGUCUGAGGCUGGGUUUGACCUCAGGUUUACUUGACUCCAGUCCUGGCAUUCUAUCCAUUGCACAAUCUAAGGUGCCUUAUAUGAACACAGUGGAAUAUUACUGUGCAAGAAGAGAUGGCAAAGGGGAUACAUAGGGAAGAUGUGUAUGAACUGAUGCAGAGUGAAGUGAGCAAACCAGUAGAACCAUUUAUACAGUAAUAAUAAUUUUGUAAAGACAAAUUUGAAAGUCUUAAGAAAUUUGAUUAUUACAGUGAAUUACGAUACCAGUAGAACUAUGAUGAAACCUUCUGUCCAUUUUAUGACAGAGAGGUGAUACCUCAAAUUUUGUUUUGUUCAGUUAUGUCUUUAUUGCAAGAAUUUUGCUCUUUCCCCCCCAAAUAGGGUGGGAGAGGAGUAAAGUGGGGAAGAGAGAAAAUAGAUUUAUUUAACUGAAAAAGAACUAAACUUGAUUUUUAAAAAAGGAAACAGUAGGGAAGAUGGAUUGGUUAGGGGGAAAACUCAAAGGAAGACAACCAGUUUGGAGAUUGUUGCAGUAGCGUCUGCCAAAAGAAAGGAGGACCUGAAGAAGGGUGGUUAUAUCAGCACUGGAGGGAAAAGUGGGAGAGAUCUUUUCAAGGUUGAGAGCUUGGUAAUUAAUUGGAUAUGGGGCAGGGCUUAUCAGGAAUGGGUAAGAGUUCAGGUUCUGAGCUUACAAACCCGAGUGACUGUGAAGAUGGUGGUAGUGCUAUGAACAGAAAUCAAAGCCUUAUGGGAAAGCACAGGUUUGGGGAAAGAGGGAAGAUGUUCAAUUUGUGGUGCUGGCCGUAAGGAGCUCUGGGGAAAGAUCAUGGAUGGCUAUGCGGAUGUGAGUGUCAGUACUUAAACUGAAAAGAUGAGCAAAGUAGUUCCCCGAGGGAGAGAAUGGAGGAAGACUUAAGAGGAAAGUCCAGGAGAGAACCUUGCUGCAUAUCUCUAGUUUUAUAAUGGAAGGAGAAUAGAAAGUCAGCACAAGAAAGAAAUGGUCAGAGAGGGAGAAGGAACAUGGAGUACGGGGUAUCACCAGGGAAGAGAUGUUGGUGACUGAGGCCAAUAUACACACCGGCUACUUAUGGCCCAAGAAGGUCAAAGACAAAAAAGAAAAGCUCUGUAUAUCUCUGUAUAUAUAAUACUUGUCUUAUAUAUACUCUCUCUAUUCCCAAUAGCACUUCUGGUAGGACAAAAACUAGAAAUGAAGUGGAUGCCUAGUGGUAGGUGACAAAUUGCUGUCUAAAUUGUGGCAGGUAAAUGGGAGAGGUAUGAAUUAUGGCCCCAAAAUAAGAAGCAGGAGGAAUUCCAAGCAACACAAUCCAGGGCACAUUAGUGCGUGCUAGGGAUACAAAAGCAGAUGAGAUAGUCCUUACCUCCAAGUUAUCUGGAUUCUGUUGAGGAGCUGCAUAUAACCUGUACACAUUCACCAUGACAAUCUAGACUCAAAAUCAAUCCAGGGACUAAGGACUGGGGAAAUCAUCAGGGGAGAGAUCUCUUGAAGGAGAAGGCAUUUGACCUGAACCUUAAAGGGAAGGAAAAGUCCCAAUUACUAGAGGUGAUUCCAGACAUGGGGUGACUUUCACUGUACAGAAGAAUGAAGGUGGAAGGGAGAGGGUCCAGUAAAUCAGCUUGGUUGUAGUGGAGAAUGCUGUGGGAGGAGCAAGAUACAGUCAGUUUGUAGUGUUCCUGACAAUUUUGCAAUUUAUCCCAAAGGCAAUAGCAUCCACCAGGGUUUCUGUACGGAGAUUAGUCCUGUCCUUACUAAUCCAGAUCCCUGCCUCAUAGUUGCCUGACCCCUUCUACAUUUAAGGAAUCAGCAUGGGAUAGUUGAAAGCUUGAACUAGGGUGUCUGUGGUGUGCAUGGAGGGAAGGGGUGGUGGUGGGGGUGACAUUGAUGAAAUUUAAAGUAAUUGGAUAUGAGGAGUGAGUGAACUGAGUGAAGGGCCAAGGAAGACUCCUAGCUUGGAAACCCGGAAAUGAGAAAAUGCUGAAGAUGGCUUGUAAAUUGCCAAACAUGGGAAGACUUGUUGGAACUGAGAAGAAGUGAAGAAAGUUGAACAGAAGAACAUACCCGAUGACUACAAUAAUGUCAACAAAAGCCAGCACUAAAGGACAUUAGAACAUGGAGGAGAUCCGGCACCAGAGGAUGGAACCCAGGACAUCUCAAAGCAGAAAUGGAGACUUCAGAAUUUACCAAGACUGGAAAAAUCAUCAAAUAUGGAAACCUGGUUUCUUCAAUCUACAGAAGAGCUCCAAGAUCUGCAGCCAGGGAAUGGACACCAGCAUGAGAACAUAAGUCCCAGAAAACACCUUUUGUAGCUCCGUGGGCCUGUGGUCGCCAUUAUCAUCAUCAUUGUCGACAUUAUUGUUGUCCUCGUCGUCGUCCUCAUCCUCGUCGUCACUGCUCCAUGCUGUCUGGACCAGAGUGAUCCUUCUUUGUAAUCCAAAGUCAAAUCUACAGAGAAAGCAUGGCCCAUGGUCACAAAGGGACAUUGCUGCUGCUGCUCAACACUGCCAGUGCCAUUAGAAUUCUAAAUUACUUGAGAAUGCCUCAUGGAUUUGGGCAAGUUCUCUUUCGUUUUCCAGUCUAUGAACUCCCCAGAGAUUCAAUCCAGUUGUUCUGGGUUUCCAUUUUCCCUAAAGUGAAGCCUUUACAUCUCGGAAAACUUUGACAGAAAGCUAAGAGCAAGACUCAAGAAUAGAACCCAGCAUUCCUAGCUAUUGCAUCCAGUGUUCAAUCAUAUUAACAAUUUCUUGAAAGAAACACUACUAAAUUAUGAUCAUGGCUGGCCAGCUCAGACAUAUUCUUCAAGUGUAAUUGAUAAAGAAUACUCAGGUGAAUUUGUGGAAGUAGAUCACUGCUUCCUCCUAAUCUUCCCUAGUGCUCCUCUUUUGGGGAACUGUUUUAAUUUGUUUCAGGAGUGGAAGUUCUUGCACCCCCUAAAAAACCCCAAGAUGGUGGAACAGAGAGAACAUUCCAGUGGAACUCUACCAACUUGCCUUUCCAAAAAACUUGAAAAUAUCAAAUAAUCAAAUUCUGAAGUGCCAUACAAAGAAAAAGUUUGUCCAGCUGAAAAAAAUGUUUGAGGUGAGGAGAAGUUUGGGUCACUGGCUCAGAAGGCAAAGGGAAGGGCACUUACUAUGGAUCUUGGAGGACGGGAGGCACAGUGAUAGCUGCAGGAAUAGUUGUCACAUUUCUUAAAGUUUUCACUGCCAAGAAACCAAGUAUUAGACAACUGCUAAAAAGGUGAUUAGGGGCAGCUCUGUGUGGGCACGGUAGACAUUACCAGUUUCACACAAAGGGGGAGAGAGGCCAAUGCCAUCACAAAAAACUGGUGGUAACACCUGGAGCUCCAGAGUGAAGACGAUCACUUGUUAUCACAAGUAAACACAUUCCCUGCUACUGCUCCAGGGUGAAGAGGAGCACCUGCCAGCAUGAUGACAAGGAAGAGGAAGUCCCCCCUGCAGCUACUAGGUGAAGAGACCUUGCUAUAACAAAAAAAGCAAUAGUCCCAGCUGCAUCUCAGGGGUGCAUAGAGGCCUUUCCCAUUACAACAAAGCAGAGGUAUCGGCUGCAGUUCCAGUUUGAAGAAGACCACUUUCCCAUCACAAGUAACCAGAAGUCCCAGCUGUGGGUCCAGGGUGAGGAAGAGCACUUGUCAUCACAAUUAAUCAGAAGUCCCUGCUGCUGCUCCAGGGUGAAGAACAACAGUUGCCACCACAAGUUACCAGAAGUCCCUGAUGCUGCUCCAGGGUGAAGAGGAGCACUUGCCAUCACAAGUAACUAGAAUUCCCUGUAACAAGCUCCAGGGUGAAGAGGAGCACUUGCCAUCACAAGCAAGUAGUGGUCCCAGCUGCAGCCAUGGGACGGAGAGAGGGCUUUGGCAUCACAACAAACCAGAGGUCCCAGUUGCAGCUCCAGUUAGAAGAAAAACACUUUGCAUCACAAGUCACCAGAAUUCCCAGCUGCGGGUCCAGGGUGAAGAAAAGAACUUGCCAUCACAAGUAGCCAGAAGUCCCUGCUGCUGCUCCAGGGGGAAGAGGAGAACUUGCCAUCAAAAUGAAGCAGAGGUCCCAGCUGCAGCUCUGGGGUGGAGAGAGGCCUUUGUCAUCACAACCAAGCAGAGGUCCCAGCUGCAGUUUGCAUUUGAAGAACACUUCCCAUCAUCACAAGAAACCAGAAGUCCCUGCUGCUACUCCAGGGUGAAGAAGAACAAUUGCCAUUACAAGUUACUAGAAGUACCUGCUGCAGCUCCAGGGAGAAGAGGAAGACUUGCCAUCACAAGUAACCAGAAGGCCCAGCUGCAGCUACUGGGUGAAGACCAAUUGCCAUCACAAAAAUGGAAAGAACGCAGCUGAAGCUCCAGGGUAGAGAGAGGCCUUUGCCAUCAAACCCAUGUAGAGGUCUCAGUUACAGCUCCAGGAUACAGAGAGGCCUUUGCCAUCACAACCAAGCAGAGGUACCAGCUGCAGAUCCAGGAUGGAGAGAGGCCUUUGCCAUCACAACCUAGCAGAGUUCUAAGCUGCAGCUCCCGUUGGAAGAAGAAAACUUGCCAUAACAAAUAACGGGAAAUCCCAGCUGCAGGUCCAGUGUGACGAAAAGAAAUUGCCAUCACAAGUUACCAAAAGUCCCUGCUGCUGCUCCACAGUGAAGCGGAAAACUGGCCACCACAAGUAACCAGAAGUCCCUGCUGCAGCUCCAGGGUGAAGAGCAACACUUGCCAUCACAAGUUACCAGAAGUCCUUGAUGCUGCUCCAGGGUGAAGAACAGCAGUUGCCAUCACAAGUUACAAGAAGUCCCUGCUGCUGCUCUAGGGUGAAGAUGAACACUUGCCAUCACAAGUUACCAGAAGUCCCUGCUUCUGCUCCACAAUGAAGAGGAACACUUGCCAUCACAAGUUAGCAGAAAUCUUUCCUGCAGCUACUGGUUGAAGAAGACCAAUUGCCCUAAGAAAAAUGCAGAGGACGCAGCUGCAGCUUAGGGAUGCAGAGAGGCCUUUGCCAUCACAACUAAGCAGAUGUGCAAGCUGCAACUCCCGUUUGAAGAGGAACACUUCCUAUCACCAAUAACUGGAAGUCCCAGGGCAAGGUCCAGUGUGAUGAAAAGAACUUGCUAACACAAGUAACCAGAAGUCCCUGCUGCUGCUCCAGGGUGAAGAGGAACACUUGUCAUCACAAGUAACCAGAAGUCACUGCUGUUGUCCAAGGGUGAAGACGAACACUUGCCAACACAAGUUAACAGAAGUCCCUGCUGCGGCUCCAGGGUGAACAGGACCACUUGCCAUCAAAAGUUACCAGAAGUCCCUGCUGCAGCUCCUUGGUGAAGAGGACCACUUGCCAUCACAAGUUACCAGAAGUCCCUGCUGCAGCUACAGGGUGAACAGGACCACUUGCCAUCAAAAGUUACCAGAAGUCCCUCCUGCAGUUCCAGGGUGAAGAGGAACACUUGCCAUCACAAGUUACCAGAAGUCCUUGAUGCUGCUCCAGGGUGAAGAACAACAGUUGCCAUCACAAGUUACAAGAAGUCCCUGCUGCUUAUCCAGAGUGAAGAUGAACACUUGCCAUCACAAGUUACCAGAAGUCCCGGCAGCAGCUGCAGGGUGAAGAGGAUCACUUGCCAUCAAAAGUUACCAGAAAUCUUUCCUGCAGCUACUGGGUGAAGAAGACCAAUUGCCCUAAGAAAAAUGCAGAGGACUCAGCUGCAGCUUAGGGAUGGAGAGAGGCCUUUACCAUCACAACUAAGCAGAUGUGCAAGCUGCAACUCCCGUUUGAAGAAGAACACUUCGUAUCACCAAUAACUGGAAGUCCCAGCGGCAGGUCCAGUGUGAUGAAAAGAACUUGCCACCACAAGUAACCAGAAGUCCCUGCUGCUGCUCCAGGGUGAAGAGGAACACUUGUCAGCACAACUUACCAGAAAUCCUUGCUGUAGCUCCAGGGUGAAGAAGACCACGUGUGACCACAAGUACCCAGAAGUCCCUGCUGCUGUUCUAGGGUGACGAGGAACACUUAUGACGCCAAGUAACCAGAAGUCCCUGCUGCUGCUCCAGGGUGAAAGGGAACACUUGCCAGCACAACUUACCAGAAGUCCCUGCUGCAGCUCCAGGGUAUAGAGGAACACUUGCCAGGUCAACUUACCAGAAGUCCCUGCUGCUGCUCCAGGGUGAAGAGGAACACUUGCCAGCAUAACUUACCAGAAGUCCCUGCUGCUGCUCCAGGGUGAAGAGGAAUACUUGCCAGCACAACUUACCAGAAGUCCCUUCUGCAGUUCCAGGGUGAAGAGGAACACUUGCCAUCACAAGUUACAAGAAGUCCCUGCUGCUUAUCCAGAGUGAAGAUGAACAUUUGCCAUCACAAGUUACCAGAAGUCCCUGCUGCAGCUCCCGGGUGAAGAGGACCACUUGCCAUCAAAAGUUACCAGAAAUCUGUCCUGCAGCUACUGGGAGAAGAAGACCAGUUGCCCUAAGAAAAAUGCAGAGGAUGCAGCUGCAGCUUAGGGUGUAGAGAGGCCUUUGCCAUCACAACAAAGAAACUGUCUCAGCUGCAGCUCCACGAUGGAGAGAGGCCUUUGCAAUCACAACUACACAGAUGUCCCAGCUGCAGCUUAUGGGUGGAGGGAGGCCUUUGCCAUCACAACUAAGCAGAGGUCUAAGCUGCAGCGCCCAUUUGAAGAAUAACACUUCCUAUCACCAACAACUGUAAGUCACAGUUGCAGGUCCAGUGUGACGAAAAGAACUUUCCACCACAAGUAACCAGAAGUCCCUGCUGCUGCUCCACAGUGAAGAGGAAGACUUGCCAUCACAAGUUAACAGAAGUCCCUGCUGCAGCUCCAGGGUGAAGAGUAACACUUGCCAUCACAAGUUAACAGAAGUCCUUGAUGCUGCUCCAGGGUGAAGAGUAACACUUGCCAUCACAAGUUAACAGAAGUCCUUGAUGCUGCUCCAGGGUGAAGAACAACAGUUGCCAUCACAAGUUAUAAGAAGUCCCUGCUGCUGCUCCAGGGUGAAGAUGAACACUUGCCAUCACAAGUUACCAGAAGUCCCUGCUACAGCUCCAGGGUGAAGAGGAACACUUGCCAUCACAAGUUACCAGAAGUCCCUGCAGCAGCUCCAGGGUGAAGAGGACCACUUGCCAUCACAAGUUACCAGAAGUCCCUGCUGCAGCUACAGGGUGAACAGGACCACUUGCCAUCAAAAGUUACCAGAAAUCUUUCCUGUAGCUACUGGGUGAAGAAGACCAAUUUCCCUAAGAAAAAUGCAGAGGACGCAGCUGCAGCUUAGGGGUGGAGAGAGGUCUUUGCUAUCAAAACAAAGUAGAGGUCUCAUUUAUCGCUCCAGGAGAGAAUGAGCCCUUUGCCAUCAGAACUACGCAGAUGGCCCAAGUGUAGCUUAGAAGUGGAGAGACCCCUUGGCCAUCACAACUAAACAGAGGUCCAAGCUGCAGCAACCGUUUGAAGAAGAACACUUCCUAUCACCAAUAACUUGAUGUCCCAGCUGCAGGUCCAUUGUGACAAAAAGAACUUGCCACCACUAGUAACCAGAAGUCCCUACUACAGCUCCAGGGUGAAGAGGAACAGUUGCCAGCACAACUUACCAGAAGUCCCUGCUACAGCUCCAGGGUGAAGAGGAACACUUGCCAGCACAACUUACCAGAAAGUUGUAGCUCCUUGCUGUAGCUCCAGGGUGAAGAAGACCACGUGUGACCACAAGUACCCAGAAGUGCCUGCUGCUGCUCUGGGGUGACAAGGAACACUUAUGACCCCAAGUAACCAGAAGUCCCUGCUGCCGCUACAGGGUGAAGAGAAACACUUGUCAUCACAAGUAACCAGAAAUCCCUGCUGCUGCCCUAGGCUGAAAAGGAACACUUGCCAACACAACUUACCAGAAGUCCCUGCUGCUGCUCCAGGGUGAAGAGGAAUACUUGCCAGCACAACUUACCAGAAGUCCCUGCUGCUGCUCCAGGGUGAAGAGGAACACUUGUGACCCCAAGUAACCAGAAGUCCCUACUGCCGCUGCUGGGUGAAGAGAAAAACUUGUCAUCACAAGUAAGCAGAAGUCCCUGCUGGAGCUCCAGGGUGAAGAGGACCACUUGCCAUGGAAUGUUAGCAGAAAUCGUUCCUGUAACUACUGGGUGAAGAAGACCAAUUGCCCUAAAAAAAAUGCAUAGGACACAGCUGCAGCUUAGGGUUGAGAGAGGCCUUUGCCAUCACAACUACAUAGAAGUGCCAGCUGCAGCUUAUGGGUGGAAGUAGGCCAUUCCCAUCACAACUAAGCGGAGGUCCAAGCUGUAGCUCCCGUUUGAGGAACACUUCCUAUCUCCAAUAACUGGACGUCCCACCUGUAGGUCCAGUGUGACGAAAAGAAUUUGCCACCACAAGUACCCAGAAUCCCUGCUGCUGCUCAAGGGUGAAGAACAACUGUUGCCAUCACAAGUUACCCUGAAGUCCCUGCUGCCGCUCCAGGGUGAAGAGGAACACUAGUCAACACAAGUAGCCAGAAAUCCCUGCUGCUGCUCCAGGGUGAAGAGAAACACUUUUCAUCACAAGUAACCAGCAAUCCCUGCUGCUGCUCCAGGUUGAAGAGGAACACUUGCCAGCACAACUUAACAGAAGUCCCUACUGCCGCUCCAGGGUGAAGAGGAACACUUGCCAUCACAACUUGCCAGAAGUCCCUUCUGCAUCUCCAGGGUGAAGAGGAACACUUCCCAUCACAAGUUAUUAUAAGUCCCUGUUGCAGCUCCAGGGUGAAGAGGAACACUUGCCAUCACAUGUUGUCAGAAGUCCCUUCUUAAGCUCCAGGGUGAAGAGGAAUAAUUGCGAACAUAAGUACCCCUAAUUCCUGCUGCUGCUCGAGGGCGAAGAACAACUGUUGCCAUCAGAUGUUGCCUGAAGUCCCUGCUGCCGCUCCAGGGUGAAGAGGAACACUUCUGACCACAAGUAACCAAAAGUCCCUGCUGCAGCUCUAGGGUGAAGAAGAACAUUUCUGACCACAAGUAACCAAAAGUCCCUGCUGCAGCUCCAGGGUGAAGAGGAACACUUGCCAUCACAAGUAACGAGAAAUCCCUGCUGCUGCUCCAGGGUGAAGAACAACAGUUGCCAUCACAUGUUGCCAGAAGUCCCUGCUGUUGGUCCAGGUUGACGACGAACACUUUUGAUCACAAGUAACCAGAAGUCCCUGCUGUAGUUCCAGGGUGAAGAGGAACACUUGUGAACAGAAGUACCCAGAAGUCCCUGCUGCUGCUCCAGGGUGAAGACGAACAAUUGUCAUCACAAGUAACCAGAAGUCCCUGCUGCGGCUCCAGGGGGAAGAGGACCACGUGCCAUGAAAUGUUACCAGAAAUCUUUCCUGAAGCUACUGGGUGAAGAAGACCAAAUUCCCUAAGAAAAAUGCAGAAGACACAGCUGCAGCUUAGGGGUGGAGAGAGGCCUUUGAUAUCACAACAAAUCAAAGGUCUCAGUUGCAGCUCUGGGUUGGACUGAGGUCUUUGCUAUCACAACCUAGCAGAGGUCUCAUUUACUGCUCCAGGAUAGAACGAGGCCUUUGCCAUCACAACUACGCAGACGUCCCAACUGCAGCUUAGGGGUGGAGAGAGGCCUUUGCCAUCCCAACCAAGUAAAGGUCCAAGCUGCAGCUCCCCUUUGAAGAAGAACACUUCCUAUCACCAAUAACUAGACGUCCCAGCUGCAUGUCCAGUGUGAGAAAAAGAACUUGCCAACACAAGUAACCAGAAAUCCCUGGUGCUGCUCCAGGGUGAAGAACAACAGUUGCCAUCACAACUUGCCGAAGUCCCUGCUGCUGCUCGAGGGUGAAGACAAACACUUGUCAUCACAAGUAACCAGAGUUCCCUGCUGCAGCUCCAGGGUGAAGACGAACAGUUGUCAUCACAAGUACCCAGAAGUCCCUGCUGCUGCUCCAGGGUGACGAACAAUAGUUGCCAUUAAAAGUUGCCUGAAGUCCCUGCAGCUUUUCCAAGGUGAAGAGGAACUCUUGCCAUCACAAGUUACCAGAAGUCCCGGCUGCUGCUCCAAGGUGAAGAGGACCACGUGCCCUGAAAUCUUUUCUGAAACUACUGGGUGAUGAAGAUUAAAUUCCCUAAGAAAAAUGCAGAAGACACAUCUGCAGCUUACGGGUGGAGAGAGGCCUUUGAUAGCACAACAAAUCAGAGGUCGCAGUUGCACCUCUGGGUUGGACAGAGGUCUUUGCUAUCACAACCUAGCAGAGGUCUCAUUUACCGCUCCAGGAUAGAACGAGGCCUUUGCCAUCACAACUACGCAGACUUCCCAACUCCAGCUUAGGGGUGGAGAGAGGUCUUUGCCAUCACAACUAAGCAGAGGUCCAAGCUGCACCUCCUGUUUGAAGAACACUUCCUAUCACCAAUAACUAAAUGUCCCAGCUGCAGGUCCAGUGUGAAGAAAAGAACUUGCCUCCACAAGUAACAAGAAGUCCCUCCUGCUGCUCCAGGGUGAAAAACAAUAUUUGCCAUCACAAGUUGCCAGAAGUCCCUGCUGCUGCUUCAGGGUGAAGAGGAACACUUGUGACCACAAGUACCCAGAAAUCCCUGCUGCUACUCCAUGGUGAAGAACAACAGUUGCCAUCACAAGUAAUCAGAAGUCCCUGCUGUACCUCCAGGGUGAAGAGGAACACUUGUGAUCACAAGUAACCAAAAGUCCCUCCUGCAGCUCCAAGGUGAAGAGGAACAACUUGCCAUCAAAAGUUACCAGAAGGCCCUGCUGUAGCUCCAGGGUGAAGAGGAAAAGUUGUGACCACAAGUACCCAGAGGUCCCUGCUGCUGCUCCAGGGUGAAGAGGAACACUUGUGACCCCAAGUAACCAGAAGUCCCUGCUGCCGCUACAGGGUGAAGAGAAACACUUGUCAUCACAAGUAACCAGAAAUCCCUGCUGCUGCCCUAGGUUGAAAAGGAACACUUGCCAGCACAACUUACCAGAAGUCCCUGCUGCAGCUCCAGGGUAUAGAGGAACAAUUGCCAGGUCAAUUUACCAGAAGUCCCUGCUGCUGCUCUAGGGUGAAGAGGAACACUUGCCAGCACAACUUACCCGAAGUCCCUGCUGCAGCUCCAGCGUAUAGAGGAACACUUGCCAGGUCAACUUACCAGAAGUCCCUGCUGCUGCUCCAGGGUGAAGAGGAACACUUGUGACCCCAAGUAACCAGAAGUCCCUGAAGCCGCUACAGGGUGAAGAGAAACACUUGUCAUCACAAGUAACCAGAAAUCCCUGCUGCUGCUCCAGGUUGAAGAGGACCACUUGCCAUCAAAUGUUAGCAGAAAUCUUUCCUGUAACUACUGGGUGAAGAAGACCAAUUGCCCUAAGAAAAAUGCAUAGGACAGAGCUGAAGCUUAGGGUUGAGAGAGGCCUUUGCCAUCACAACUACAUAGAUGUGCCAGCUGCAGCUUAUGGGUGGAAGGAGGCCAUUCCCAUCACAACUAAGCAGAGGUCCAAGCUGUAGCUCCUGUUUGAAGAACACUUCCUAUCUCCAAUAACUGGACGUCCCACCUGUAGGUCCAGUUUGACGAAAAGAACUUGCCACCACAAGGAACCAGAAGUCCCUGCUGCAUCUCCAGGGUGACGAGGAAUACUUGUGACCACAAGUACCCAGAAUCCCUGCUGCUGCUCAAGGGCAAAGAACAACUGUUGCCAUCACAAGUUACCCUGAAGUCCCUGCUGCCACUCCAGGGUGAAGAGGAACACUAGUCAACACAAGUAGCCAGAAGUCCCUCCUGCUGCUCCAGGGUGAAGAGGAACACUUGCCAUCACAACUUGCCAGAAGUCCCUGCUGCAGCUCCACGGUGAAGAGGAACACUUGCCAUCACAUGUUGUCAGAAGUCCCUUCUUAAGCUCCAGGGUGAAGAGGAAUAAUUGCGACCAUAAAUACCCCUAAUUCCUGCUACUGCUCGAGGGCAAAGAACAACUGUUGCCAUCACAUGUUGCCUGAAGUCCCUGCUGCCGCUCCAAGGUGAAGAGGAACACUUGUGACCACAAGUACGCAGAAGUCCCUGCUGCUGCACCAGGGUGAAGAAAAACAGUUGCCAUUACAAGUUGCCAGAAGUCCCUGCUGCACCUCCAGGGUGAAGAGGAACACUUGUGACCACAAGUAACCAGAAGUCCUUGCUGCAGCUCCAGGGUGAAGAGGAACACUUGCCAUCACAAGUAACGAGAAAUCCCUGCUGCUGCUCCAGGGUGAAGAACAACAGUUGCCAUCACAUGUUGCCAGAAGUCCCUGCUGCUGGUCCAGGGUGACGACAAACACUUUUGAUCACAAGUAACCAGAAGUCCGUGCAUUAGUUCCAGGGUGAAGAGGAACAUUUGUGAACAGAAGUACCCAGAAGUCCCUGUUGCUGCUCCAGGGUGAAGAAGAACACUUGUGACCACAAGUAUCCCAAAGUCUCUGCUGCUGCUCCAGGGUGAAGACGAACAAUUGUCAUCACAAGUAACCAGAAGUCCCUGCUGUAGCUCCAGGGUGAAGAGGAACACUUGUGACCACAAGUACCCAGAAGUCCCUGCUGCUGCUCCAGGGUGAAGAACAACAGUUGCCAAUACAAGUUGCCUGAAGUCCCUGCUGCUGCUCCAAGGUGAAGAGGACCACGUGCCAUGAAAUGUUACCAGAAAUCUUUCCUGAAGCUACUGGAUGAAGAAGACCAAAUUCCCUAAGAAAAAUGCAGAAGACACAGCUGGAGCUUAGAGGUGUAGAGAGUCCUUUGAUAUCACAACAAAUCAAAGGUCUCAGUUGCAGCUCUUGGUUGGACUGAGGUCUUUGCCAUCACAACCUAGCAGAGGUCUCAUUUACUGCUCCAGGACAAAACGAGGCCUUUGCCAUCACAACUACGCAGACGUCCCAACUGCAGCUUAGGGGUGGAGAGAGGCCUUUGCCAUCCCAACCAAGUAAAGGUCGAAGCUGCAGUUACCCCUUUGAAGAAGAACACUUCCUAUCACCAAUAACUAGACGUCCCAGCUGCAUGUCCAGUGUGACAAAAAGAACUUCCCAACACAAGUAACCAGAAAUCCCUGGUGCUGCUCCAGGGUGAAGAACAACAGUUAACAUAACAUAUAACCAGAAGUCCAUGCUGCUACUCCAUGGUGAAGAACAACAGUUGCCAUCACAAGUUGCCAGAAGUCCCUGCUGCUGCUCGAGGGUGAAGACGAACACUUAUCAUCACAAGUAACCAGAAGUCCCUGCUGCAGCUCCAGGGUGAAGUCGAACAGCUGUAAUCACAAGUACCCAGAAGUCCCUGCUGCUGCUCCAGGGUGACGAACAAUAGUUGCCAUUACAAGUUGCCUGAAGUCCUUGUAGCUUUUCCAACGUGAAGAGGAACUCUUGCUAUCAGAAGUUAGCAGAAGUCCCGGUGGUAGCUCCAAGGUGAUGAGGAACACUUGUCAUCACAAGUACCCAGAAGUCCCUGCUGCUGCUCUAGGGUGAAGAAUAACAGUUUCCAUUACAAGUUGACUAAAGUCCCUGCUGCUGUUCCAAGGUGAAGAGGACCAUGUGCCCUGAAAUCUUUUCUAAAUCUACUAGGUGAUGAAGACUAAAUUCCCUAAGAAAAAUGCAGAAGACACAGCUGCAGCUUACGGGUCGAGAGAGGCCUUUGAUAGCACAACAAAUCAGAGGUCGCAGUUGCACCUCUGGGUUGGACAGAGGUCUUUGCUAUCACAACGUAGCAGAGGUCUCAUUUACCGCUCCAGGAUAGAACGAGGCCUUUGCCAUCACAACUAAGCAGAGGUCCAAGCUGCACCUCCCAUUUGAAGAAUACUUCCUAUCACCAAUAACUAAAUGUCCCAGCUGCAGGUCCAGUGUGAAGAAAAGAACUUGCCUCCACAAGUAACCAAAAGUCCCUCCUGCUGCUCCAGGGUGAAAAACAAUAUUUGCCAUCACAAGUUGCCAGAAAUCCCUGGUGCUACUCCAGGGUGAAGAACAAUAGUUAACAUAACAUGUAACCUGAAGUCCCUGCUGCUGCUUCAGGGUGAAGAGGAACACUUGUGACCACAAGUACCCAGAAAUCCCUGUUGCUACUCCAUGGUUAAGAACAACAGUUACCAUCACAAGUUGCCAGAAGUCCCUGCUGUUGCUCCAGGGUGAAGAGGAACACAUGUGAUCACAAGUAACCAAAAGUCCCUCCUGCAGCUCCCAGGUGAAGAGGAACACUUGCCAUCAAAAGUUACCAGAAGUCCCUGCUGCAGCUCCAGGGUGAAGACGAACAUUUGUCAUCACAAGUAAUCAGAAGUCCCUGCUGUAGCUCCAGGGUGAAGAGGAACACUUGUGAGCAAAAGUACGCAGAAGUCCCUGCUGCUGCUGCAGGGUGAAGAGGAACACUUGUGACCACAAGUAACCAGAAUUCCCUGCUGAUGCUCUAGGGUGAAGAGGAAUACUUGUCAUCACAUGUUACCAGAAGUUCCUGCUGCAGGUCCAGGGUAAAGACGAACACUUGUGACCAUAAGUACCCAGAAGUCCCUGCUGCUGCUCCAGGGUGAAGAACAACAGUUUCCAUUACAAGUUCCCUGAAGUCCCUGCUGCUGCUCCAAGGUGAAGAAGACCACCUGCCAUGAAAUGUUACUAGAAAUCUUACCGGAAGCUACUAGGUGAAUAUGACCAAAUUCCCUAAGAAAAAUGCAGAAGACGCAGCUGCAGCUUAGGGGUGGAGAGAGGCCUUUGCCAUCACAACCAAGCAGAGGUCCAAGCUGCAGCUCCUGUUUGAAGAAGAACCCUUCCUAUCACCAAUAACUGGACAUCACAGCUGCAGGUCCAGUGUAAAGAAAAGAACUUGCCUCCACAAGUAUCGAGAAGUCCCUCCUGCUGCUCCAGGGUGAAGAACAACUGUUGCCAUCAAAAGUUACCAGAAGUCCCUGCUGCAGCUCCAGGGUGAAGACGAACAUUUGUCAUCACAAGUAAUCAGAAGUCCCUGCUGUAGCUCCAGGGUGAAGAGGAACACUUGUGAGCAAAAGUACCCAGAAGUCCCUGCUGCUGCUGCAGGGUGAAGAGGAACACUUGUGACCACAAGUACCCAGAAGUCCCUGCUGCUGCUGCAGGGUGAAGAGGAACACUUGUGACCACAAGUAACCAGAAUUCCCUGCUGACGCUCUAGGGUGAAGAGGAAUACUUGUCAUCACAUGUUACCAGAAGUUCCUGCUGCAGGUCCAGGGUAAAGACGAACACUUGUGACCAUAAGUACCCAGAAGUCCCUGCUGUACCUCCAGGGUGAAGAACAACAGUUUCCAUUACAAGUUCCCUGAAGUCCCUGCUGCUGCUCCAAGGUGAAGAAGACCACCUGCCAUGAAAUGUUACUAGAAAUCUUACCGGAAGCUACUAGGUGAAGACGACCAAAUUCCCUAACAAAAAUGCAGAAGACGCAGCUGCAGCUUAGGGGUGGAGAGAGGCCUUUGCCAUCACAACAAAGCAGAGGUCCAAGCUGCAGCCCCUGUUUGAAGAAGAACCCUUCCUAUCACCAAUAACUGGACAUCACAGCUGCAGGUCCAGUGUAAAGAAAAGAACUUGCCUCCACAAGUAUCGAGAAGUCCCUCCUGCUGCUCCAGAGUGAAGAACAACUGUUGCCAUCACAAUUUGCCAGAAGCCCCUGCUACUGCUCCAGGGUGAAGAGGAACACUUGUGACGACAAGUAACCAGAAGUCCCUGCUGACGCUCUAGGUUGAAGAGGGAUACUUGCCAUCACAAGUUACCAGAUGUCCCUGCUGCAGCUCCAGGGUGAAGAGCAACACUUGCCAUCAAAGGUUACCAGAAAUCUUUCCUGUAGCUACUGGGUGAAGAAGACCAAUUACCCCAAGAAAAAUGCAGAGGACGCAGCUGCAGAUUAAGGGUGGAGAGAGGCCUUUUCUAUCAAAACAAAGCAGAGAUCUCAGCUGCAGCUCCAAGAUGGAGAGAGGCGUUUUCCAUCACAACUACAUAGAUGUCCCAGCUGCAGCUUAAGGAUGGAUGUAGGCCUUUGCUAUCACAACUAAGCAGAAGUCCAAGCUGCACCUCCCGUUUGAAGAAAAACACUUCAUAUUCCCCAUAACUAUACGUCCCAGUUGCAUGUCCAGUGUGACAAAAAGAUCUUGCCACCACAAGUAACCAGAAGUCCCUGGUACUGCUCCAGGGUGAAGAACAACAGUUAACAUAACAUGUAAGCAGAAGUCCCUGCUGCUACUCCAGGGUGAAGAACAACAGUUGUCAUCACAAGUAACCAGAAGUCCCUGCUGCUGCUCCAGGGUGAAGAACAACAGUUACCAUUACAAAUUGCCUGAAGUCCCUGCUGCUGCUCCAAGGUGAGGAGGAACACUUGCCAUCACAAGUUACCAGAAGUCCCUGAUGUAGCUCCAGGGUGAAGAGGAACACUUGUGAUCACAAGUUGCCAGAAGUCCCUGCUGUAGCUCCAGGGUGAAGAGGAACACUUGUGAUCACAAGUUACCAGAAGCCCCUGCUGCUGCUCCAGGGUGAAGAGGAACACUUGUGACCACAAGUACCCAGAAGUCCCUGCUGCUACUCCAGGGUGAAGAACAACAGUUGCCAUUACACGUUGCCUGAUGUACCUGCUGCUGUUCCAAGGUGAAGACGAACACUUGCCAUCACAAGUUACCAGAAGUCCCUGCUGUAGAUCCAGGGUGAAGAGGAACACUUGUGAUCACAAGUUACCAGAUGUCCCUGCUGCUGCUCCAGGGUGAAGAGGACCAAGUGCUAUGAAAUGUUACCAGAAAUCUUUCCUGAAGCUAGUGGGUGAAGAAGACCAAUUUCGCUAAGAAAAAUGCAGAAGACACAGCUGCAGCUUAGGGGUGGAGAGAGGCCUUUGAUAUCAUAACAAAUCAGAGGUCUCAGUUGCAGCUCUGGGUUGGACAGAGGUCUUUGCUAUCACACCCUAGCAGAGGUCUCAUAUACCGCUCCAGGAUAGAACGAGGCCUUUGCCAUCACAACUACGCAGACGUCACAACUGCAGCUUAGGGGUGGAGAGAGGCCUUUGCCAUCACAACCAAGCAGAGGUCCAAGCUGCAGCUCCCGUUUGAAGAAGAACACUUACUAUCACCAAUAACUGGACAUCACAGCUGCGGGUCCAGUGUGAAGAAAAGCACUUGCCUCCAAAAGUAACCAGAAGUCCCUCCUGCUGCUCUAGGGUGAAGAACAACAGUUGCCAUCACAAGUUGCCAGAAGUCCCUGCUGCUGCUCCAGGGUGAAGAGGAACACUUGUGAUGUCAAGUAACCAGAAGUCCCUGCUGACGCUCCAGGGUGAAGAGGAAUACUUGCCAUCACAAGUUACCAGAAGUCCCUGCUGCAGCUCCAGGGUGAAGAGCAACACUUGCCAUCACAAGUUACCAGAAGUCCCUGCUGUAGCUCCAGGGUGAAGAGGAACACUUGCGAUCACAAGUUACCAGAAGUCCCUGCUGCUGCUCUAGGGUGAAGAAUAACAGUUGCCAUCACAAUUUGCCAGAAGUCCCUGCGGCUGCUCCAGGGUGAAGAACACUUGUGGCGACAAGUAAACAGAAGUUCCUGCUGACGCUCCAGGGUGAAGAGGAACACUUGUGACCACAAGUACCCAGAAGCCCCUGCUGUAGCUCCAGGGUGAAGAGGAACACUUGUGACCACAAGUACCCAGAAGUCCCUGCUGCUGCUCCAGGGUGAAGAACAAGAUUUGCCAUUACAAGUUGCCUGAUGUACCUGCUGCUGCUCUAAGGGGAAGAGGAACACUUGGCGUCACAAGUUACCAGAAGUCCCUGCUGCUGCUCCAGGGUGAAGAACAACAGUUGCCAUUACAAGUUACCAGAAGUCCCUGCUGUAGCUCCAGGGUGAAGAGGAACACUUGUGAUCACAAGUUACCAGAAGCCCCUGCUGCUGCUCCAGGGUGAAGAGGAACACUUGCCAUCAAAAGUUACCAGAAGUCCCUGCUGUAGCUCCAGGGUGAAGAGGAACACUUGUGAUCACAAGUUACCAGAAGUCCCUGCUGCUGCUCUAGGGUGAAGAACAACAGUUGCCAUUACAAGUUGCCUGAAGUCCCUGCUGCAGCUCCAGGGUGAAGAGGAACACUUGCCAUCACAAGUUACCAGAAGUCCCUGCUGUAGUUCCAGGUUGAAGAGGAACAUCUGUGACCAUAAGUAACCUGAAGUCCCUGGUGCUGCUCCAGGGUGAAGAACAACAGUUGCCAUUACAAGUUGCCUGAAGUCCCUGCUGCUGCUCCAAGGUGAAGAGGAACACUUGCCAUCACAAGUUACCAGAAGUCCCUGCUGCAGCUCCAGGGUGAAGAGCAACACUUGCCAUCACAAGUUACCAGAAGUCCCUGCUGCAGCUCCAGGGUGAAGAGCAACACUUGCCAUCACAAGUUACCAGAAGUCCCUGCUGCAGCUCCAGGGUGAAGAGCAACACUUGCCAUCACAAGUUACCAGAAGUCCCUGCUGCAGCUCCAGCGUGAAGAGCAACACUUGCCAUCACAAGUUACCAGAAGUCCCUGAUGCUGCUCUAGGGUGUAGAAUAACAGUUUCCAUUACAAGUUGACUAAAGUCCCUACUGCUGUUCCAAGGUGAAGAGACCACGUGCCAUGAAAUGUUACCAGAAAUCUUUCCUGAAGCUACUGGGUGAAGAAGACCAAUUUCCCUAAGAAAAAUGCAGAAGACACAGCUGCAGCUUAGGGGUGGAGAGAGGCCUUUGAUAUCACAACAAAUCAGACGUCUCAGUUGCAGCUCUGGGUUGGACAGAGGUCUUUGCUAUCACAACCUAGCAUAGGUCUCAUUUACCGCUCCAGGAUAGAACGAGGCCUUUGCCAACCACAACUACGCAGGCGUCACAACUGCAGCUUAGUGGUGGAGAGCGGCCUUUGCUAUUACAACCAAGCAGAGGUCCAAGCUGCAGCUCCCGCUUGAAGAAGAACACUUCCUAUCACCAAUAAGUGGACUUCACAGCUGCAGCUCCAGUGUGAAGAAAAGGACUUUCCUCCAAAAGUAACCAGAAGUCCCUCCUGCUGCUCUAGGGUGAAGUACAACAGUUGCCAUCACAAGUUGCCAGAAGUCCUUGCUGCUGCUCCAGGGUGAAGAGGAACACUUGUGAUGACAAGUAACCAGAAGUCCCUGCUGACGCUCCAGGGUGAAGAGCAAUACUUGCCAUCACAAGUUACCAGAAGUCCCUGCUGCAGCUCCAGGGUGAAGAGCAACACUUGCCAUCACAAGUUACCAGAAGUCCCUGCUGUAGCUCCAGGGUGAAGAGGAACACUUGUGAUCACAAGUUACCAGAAGUCCCUGCUGCUGCUCCAGGGUGAAGAACAACAGUUUACAAUUCAAGUUGACUAAAGUCCCUACUGCUGUUCCAAGGUGAAGAGGACCACGUGCCAUGAAAUGUUUCAGAAAUCUUUCCUGAAGCUAGUGGGUGAAGAAGACCAAUUUCCCUAAGAAAAAUGCAGAAGACACAGCUUCAGCUUAGGUGUGGAGAGAGGCCUUUGAUAUCACAACAAAUCAGACGUCUCAGUUGCAGCUCUCGGUUGGAUAGAGGUCUUUGCUAUCACAACCUAGCAUAGGUCUCAUUUACCGCUGCAGGAUAGAAUGAGGCCUUUGCCAUCACAACUACGCAGGCGUCCCAAGUGCAGCUUAGUGGUGGAGAGAGGCCUUUGCCAUUACAACCAAGCAGAGGUCCAAGCUGCAGCCCCCGUUUGAAGAAGAACACUUCCUAUCACCAAUAAGUGGACUUCACAGCUGCAGUUCCAGUGUGAAGAAAAGGACUUUCCUCCAAAACUAACCAGAAGUCCCUCCUGAUGCUCUAGGGUGAAGAACAACAGUUGCCAUCACAAGUUGCAAGAAGUCCCUGCUGCUGCUCUAGGGUGAAAAGCAACACUUGCCAUUACAAGUUGCCUGAAGUCCCUGCUGUUGCUCCAAGGUGAAGAGGAACACUUGCCAUCACAAUUUGCCAGAUGUCCCUGCUGCAGCUCCAUGGUGAAUAGGAAUAUUUGCCAUCAAAAGUUACCAGAAAUCUUUCCUGUAGCUACUGGGUGAAGAAGACCAAUUACCCCAAGAAAAAUGCAGAGGACGCAGCUUCAGAUUAGGGGUGGAGAGAGGCCUUUUCUAUCAAACAAAGCAGAGGUCUCAGCUACAGUUCUGGGGUGGAGAGAGGCCUUUGCCAUCACAACCAAGCAGAGGUCCAAGCUGCAGCUCCCGUUUGAAGAAGAACACUUAAUAUGACCAAUAACUGGACAUCACAGCUGCGGGUCCAGUGUGAAGAAAAGCACUUGCCUCCAAAAGUAACCAGAAGUCCCUCCUGCUGCUCUAGGGUGAAGAACAACAGUUGCCAUCACAAGUUGUCAGAAGUCCCUGCUGCAGCUCCACGGUGAAGAGCAACACUUGCCAUCACAAGUUACCAGAAGUCCCUGCUGUAGCUCCAGGGUGAAGAGGAACACUUGUGAUCACAAGUUACCAGAAGUCCCUGCUGCUGCUCCAGGGUGAAGAACAACAGUUUCCAUUACAAGUUGCCUAAAGUCCCUGCUGCUGCUCCAAGGUGAAGAGGACCACGUGCCAUGAAAUGUUACCAGAAAUCUUUCCUGAAGCUACUGGGUGAAGAAGACCAAUUUCGCUAAGAAAAAUGCAGAAGACACAGCUGCAGCUUAGGGGUGGAGAGAGGCCUUUGAUAUCAUAACAAAUCAGAGGUCUCAGUUGCAGCUCUGGGUUGGACAGAGGUCUUUGCUAUCACAACCUAGCAGAGGUGUCAUAUACCGCUCCAGGAUAGAAUGAGGCCUUUGCCAUCACAACUACGCAGACGUCCCAACUGCAGCUUAGGGGUGGAGAGAGGCCUUUGCCAUCACAACCAUGCAGAGGUCCAAGCUGCAGCUCCCGUUUGAAGAAGAACACUUAAUAUCACCAAUAACUGGACAUCACAGCUGCGGGUCCAGUGUGAAGAAAAGCACUUGCCUCCAAAAGUAACCAGAAGUCCCUCCUGCUGCUCUAGGGUGAAGAACAACAGUUGCCAUCACAAGUUGCCAGAAGUCCCUGCUGCUGCUCCAGGGUGAAGAGGAACACUUGUGAUGACAAGUAACCAGAAGUCCCUGCUGACGCUCCAGGGUGAAGAGGAAUACUUGCCAUCACAAGUUACCAGAAGUCCCUGCUGCAGCUCCAGGGUGAAGAGCAACACUUGCCAUCACAAGUUAACAGAAGUCCCUGCUGCAGCUCCAGGGUGAAGAGCAACACUUGCCAUCACAAGUUACCAGAAGUCCCUGCUGCUGCUCUAGGGUGAAGAAUAACAGUUUCCAUUACAAGUUGCCUAAAGUCCCUGCUGCUGCUCCAAGGUGAAGAGGACCACGUGCCAUGAAAUGUUUCUAGAAAUCUUUCCUGAAGCUACUGGGUGAAGAAGACCAAUUUCCCUAAGAAAAAUGCAGAAGACACAGCUGCAGCUUAGUGGUGGAGAGAGGCCUUUGCCAGUACAACCAAACAGAGGUCCAAGCUGCAGCUCCCGUUUGAAGAAGAACACUUCCUAUCACCAAUAAGUGGACAUCACAGCUGCAGUUCCAGUGUGAAGAAAAGCACUUGCCUCCAAAAGUAACCAGAAGUCCCUCCUGCUGCUCCAGGGUGAAGAACAACAGUUGCCAUCACAAGUUGGCAGAAGUCCUUGCUGCUGCUCCAGGGUGAAGAGGAACACUUGUGAUGACAAGUAACCAGAAGUCCCUGCUGACGCUCCAGGGUGAAGAGGAAUACUUGCCAUCACAAGUUACCAGAAGUCCCUGCUGUAGCUCCAGGGUGAAGAGGAACACUUGUGAUCACAAGUUACCAGAAGUCCCUGCUGCUGCUCCAGGGUGAAGAACAACAGUUUACAUUAUAAGUUGCCUAAAGUCCCUGCUGCUGCACCAAGGUGAAGAGGACCACGUGCCAUGAAAUGUUACUAGAAAUCUUUCCUGAAGCUAAUGGGUGAAGAAGACCAAUUUCGCUAAGAAAAAUGCAGAAGACACAGCUGCAGCUUAGGGGUGGAGAGAGGCCUUUGAUAUCAUAACAAAUCAGAGGUCUCAGUUGCAGCUCUGGGUUGGUCAGAGGUCUUUGCUAUCACAACCUAGCAGAGGUGCCAUAUACCGCUCCAGGAUAGAAUGAGGCCUUUGCCAUCACAACCAAGCUGAGGUCCAAGCUGCAGCUCCCGUUUGAAGAAGAACACUUAAUAUCACCAAUACCUGGACAUCACAGCUGCGGGUCCAGUGCGAAGAAAAGCACUUGCCUCCAAAAGUAACCAGAAGUCCCUCCUGCUGCUCUAGGGUGAAGAACAACAGUUGCCAUUACAAGUUGCCAGAAGUCACUGCUGCUGCUCCAGGGUGAAGAGGAACACUUGUGAUGACAAGUAACCAGAAGUCCCUGCUGACGCUCCAGGGUGAAGAGGAACACUUGCCAUCACAAGUUACCAGAAGUCCCUGCUGCAGUUCCAGGGUGAAGAGCAACACUUGCCAUCAAUAGUUACCAGAAGUCCCUGCUGUAGCUCCAGGGUGAAGAGGAACACAUGUGAUCACAAGUUACCAGAAGUCCCUGCUGCUGCUCUAGGGUGAAGAAUAACAGUUUCCAUUACAAGUUGACUAAAGUCCCUGCUGCUGUUCCAAGGUGAAGAGGACCACGUGCCAUGAAAUGUUUCUAGAAAUCUUUCCUGAAGCUACUGGGUGAAGAAGACCAAUUUCCCUAAGAAAAAUGCAGAAGACACAGCUGCAGCUUAGUGGUGGAGAGAGGCCUUUGCCAGUACAACCAAGCAGAGGCCCAAGCUGCAGCUCCCGUUUGAAGAAGAACACUUCCUAUCACCAAUACGUGGACAUCACAGCUGCAGUUCCAGUGUGAAGAAAAGCACGUGCCUCCAAAAGUAACCAGAAGUCCCUCCUGCUGCUCUAGGGUGAAGAACAACAGUUGCCAUCACAAGUUCCCAGAAGUCCCUGCUGCAGCUCCAGGGUGAAGAGCAACACUUGCCAUCACAAGUUACCGGAAGUCCCUGCUGUAGCUCCAGGGUGAAGAGGAACACUUGUGAUCACAAGUUACCAGAAGUCCCUGCUGCUACUCCAGGGUUAAGAACAAAAGUUGCCAUCACAAGUUGCCAGAAGUCCCUGCUGCUGCUCCAGGGUGAAGAACAACAGUUCCCAUGACAAGUUGCCAGAAGUCCCUGCUGUUGCUCCAGGGUGAAGAGGAACACUUGUGACCACAAGCAACUAGAAGUCCCUGCUGACGCUCCAGUGUGAAGAGGAAUACUUGCUAUCACAAGAUACCAGAAGUUCCUGCUGCAGCUCCAGGGUGAAGAGGAACACUUGUCAUCAAAAGUAUCCAGAAGUCCCUGCUGUAGCUCCAGGGUGAAGAGGAACACUUGUUAUCACAAGUACCCAGAAGUCCCUGCUGCCGCUCCAGGUUGAAGAGCAAGACUUGUCAUCCUAAGUUGCCAGAAGUCCCUGCUGUAGCUCCAGGGUGAAUAGGACCAUUUGCCAUCAAAAGUUACCAGAAAUCUUUCCUGUAGCUACCGGGUGAUGAAGACCAAUUACCCCAAGAAAAAUGCAGUGGACCCAGCUGCAGAUUAGGGGGGGAGAGAGGCCUUUUCUAUCAAAACAAAGCAGAGGUCUCAGCUACAGCUCAGUGGUGGAGAGAGGCCUUUGCUAUCAGAAGAAAGCAGAGGUCUCAGCUGCAGUUCCAGGAUGCAGAGACAAAUUUUCCAUCACAACCAAGCAGCUGUCUCAGCUGCAGCUCCAAGAUGGAGAGAGGCCUUUGCCAUCACAACCAAGCAGAGGUCCAAGCUGCAGCUCCCAUUUGAAGAAGAACACUUACUAUCACCAAUAACUGGACAUCACAGCUGCAGGUCCAGUGUGAAGAAAAGCACUUGCCUCCAAAAGUAACCAGAAGUCCCUCCUGCUGCUCUAGGGUGAAGAAUAACAGUUGCCAUCACAAGUUGCCAGAAGUCCCUGCUGCUGCUCCAGGGUGAAGAGGAACACUUGUGAUGACAAGUAACCAGAAGUCCCUGCUGACGCUCCAGGGUGAAGAGGAAUACUUGCCAUCACAAGUUACCAGAAGUCCCUGCUGCAGCUCCAGGGUGAAGAGCAACACUUGCCAUCACAAGUUACCAGAAGUCCCUGCUGUACCUCCAGGGUGAAGAACAACAGUUUACAUUACAAGUUGCCUAAAGUCCCUGCUUCUGCACCAAGGUGAAGAGGACCACGUGCCAUGAAAUGUUACCAGAAAUCUUUCCUGAACAUAAUGGGUGAAGAGGACCACGUGCCAUGAAAUGUUACCAGAAAUCUUUCCUGAAGCUAAUGGGUGAAGAAGACCAAUUUCCCUAAGAAAAAUGCAGAAGACACAGCUGCAGCUUAGGGGUGGAGAGAGGCCUUUGAUAUCAUAACAAAUCAGAGGUCUCAGUUGCAUCUCUGGGUUGGACAGAGGUCUUUGCUAUCACAACCUAGCAGAGGUGUCAUAUACCGCUCCAGGAUAGAAUGAGGCCUUUGCCAUCACAACUACGCAGACGUCCCAACUGCAGCUUAGGGGUGGAGAGAGGCCUUUGCCAUCACAACCAAGCAGAGGUCCAAGCUGCAGCUCCCGUUUGAAGAAGAACACUUCCUAUCACCAAUAAGUGGACCUCACAGCUGCAGGUCCAGUGUGAAAAAAAGCACUUGCCUCCAAAAGUAACCAGAAGUCCCUUCUGCUGCUCUAGGGUGAAGAACAACAGUUGCCAUCACAAGUUGCAAGAAGUCCCUGCUGCUGCUCCAGGGUGAAGGGGAAAACUUUUGACCACAAAUACCCAGAAGUCCCUGCUGCUGCUCCAGGGUGAAGAGGAACACUUGCCAUCACAAGUUACCAGGAGUCCCUGCUGCAUCUCCAGGGUGAAGAGGAACAGUUGCCAUCACAAGUUACCAGAAGUCCCUGCUGCUACUCCAGGGUGAAGAACAACAGUUGCCCUCACAAUUUGCCAGAAGUCCCUGCUGCCGCUCCAGGGUGAAGAGGAACACUUGUGACCACAAGGACCCAGAAGUCCCUGCUGCUGCUCCUAGGUGAAGAGCAACACUUGCCAUCACAAGUUACCAGAAGUCCCUGCUGCUGCUCCAGGGUGAAGAGGAACACUUGCCAUCACAAGUUACCAGAAGUCCCUGCUGCUGCUCCAGGGUGAAGAACAAUAGUUGCCAUUACAAGGUGCCAGAAGUCCCUGCUGACGCUCCAGUGUGAAGAGGAAUACUUGCCAUCACAAGAUACCAGAAGUUCCUGCUGCAGCUCCAGGGUGAAGAGGAACAGUUGCCAUCACAAGUUACCAGAAGUCCCUGCUGCUACUCCAGGGUGAAGAACAACAGUUGCCCUCACAAUUUGCCAGAAGUCCCUGCUGCUGCUCCAGGGUGAAGAGGAACACUUGUGACCACAAGGACCCAGAAGUCCCUGCUGCUGCUCCUAGGUGAAGAGGAACACUUGCCAUCAGAAGUUACCAGAAGUCCCUGUUGCUGCUCCAGGGUGAAGAACAAUAGUUGCCAUUACAAGUUGCCAGAAGUCCCUGCUGCUGCUCCAAGGUGAAGAGGAACACUUGCCAUCACAAGUUACCAGAAGUCCCUGCUGCUGCUCCAGGGUGAAGAACAAUAGUUGCCAUUACAAGGUGCCAGAAGUCCCUGCUGACGCUCCAGUGUGAAGAGGAAUACUUGCCAUCACAAGAUACCAGCAGUUCCUGCUGCAGCUCCAGGGUGAAGACGAACACUUGUCAUCACAAGUAACCAGAAGUCCCUGCUGUAGCUCCAGGGUGAAGAGGAACACUUGUGAUCCCAAGUUACCAGAAGUCCCUGCUGCAGCUCCUGGCUGAAGAGGUACACAUUUCACCACAAGUAACCAGAAGUCCCUGUAGCAGCUCCAGGGUGAAGACGAACACUUGCCAUCACAAGUAAGCAGAAGUCCCUCCUGCAGCUCCAGGGUGAAGAACAACAGUUGCCAUCACAAAUUACUUGAAGUUCCUGCUGCAGGUCCAGGGUGAAGAGGAACACUUGCCAUCACACUUUACUCGAAGUCCCGGCCAUUGCUCCAGGGUGAAGAGGAAAACUUGCCAUCACAAGUAACCAGAAUUUCCUGAUGCCACUCGAGGGUGAAGAGGUGCCAUCAAAAAUUACGAGAAGUCCCUGCUGCUGUUCCAGGGGUAAAUAAGAGCAGUCCCAUCACACGUAACCAGAAUUCCCUGCUAUAGUGACAGGGUGAAGAGGAACACUUGCCAUCACACUUUACUCGACGUCCCGGCUAUUGCUCCAGGGUGAAGAGGAAAACUUGCCAUCACAAGUAACCAGAAUUUUCUGAUGCCACUCGAGGGUGAAGAGGUGCAGUUGCCAUCAAAAGUUACGAGAAGUCCCUGCUGCUGUUCCAGGGUGAUAUUCAUCUGGUAAACAUGGAAAGAAGCUGCUGUCCAAGUAAUUGAUGGUUUGAACCUGCUGUACCAAAGUUUUUUUCUAUGGAUCUCAACUUCGCCUUUGGAGUUCACUUUGAACUGCUUUUGAUUCAAUUCAUACGGACACCAGUUGUCAUUUUCACAUUGUCCUUCUCUGAUGUUUGAAAAGAUUGAAGGCAAAAGGAGAAGAGGAUGGCAGGAGGUGACAAAGAUGAGAGAGUGUCAUGGAAGGAGCAAACGUGAACUUGGACAGACUUUGUAAGAUAGCAGACAGAAGGGCCUGGUAUGCUAAGGUCUCUGGGGUCACAAAUCUUCAACGUUCAAAAUACCGGAGCCCAUAAAGUGAAUCAGAAGCAGGACAAACAGACAUCGGAUAACAAGACAGGGAUACACGAAGGAAGUGGGACUCAGAUGAGGACGUAUACAAUGGACGGGAACAAAGAAGACCCAAAGACAAGGAAUAUCCCAGAACAAUGAGAAUCCAUGACAUCUGCCCACCACAAUCUGUCCUGCCAUUCUCAAGACCAUGUGGCUUUCCUUCCCCUGCUUUGCUACCACAAGGAUGGAUACAGAACUUCCCACAACAAACACUGACAUCAUAUGGAGGAACCCGGUUUAUCUUCUUCUACGAUGGCAGAGUCAACUCUACAAAUGUACAUAGAAUAUAAGAGGGCCAAAAAGGAAUGGAAGGAAAGGAAAGGAAAGAGGAAAAAAAGGGAAGAGGAGGAAAAGGAAAUAAGCAUUUAUUAAGAACCUACUAUGUGUCAGGCACUGUGAUAAGCACUUUACUAAUAUUAUCUUAUUAAGUGUGAGAUCUGGACCCUCUGCCCCUUAAUCAUGUGCCACCACUUUGGAAAAGAUCAGAAAAGCUGCAAAAAAUUGAGGGGAGCCCAAGAAAAUGGUGUCUCCCCUGAAGUCAAAAGGAGACCCUGAGGGUGGGACCAUGUCAGAAGAUGAAAAAGAAACCAGAGCAAGAGAGCUUACAGUCCCUCAGAAGAAUAGGAAAAGACCGUGGCUACCCUAGCAAAGGUCCCAGCGGCCACAAAAGCCACCGCUCCUGCAACAAAGUGCCUGGGAUAUUUUCUAAGAAGGCCUCCGGCAAGAAAGGGCCACCCCGGCCAAAGCUGAUGUCAUCCUAACAGAAGCGGGAGCCCCCCCCCCCGAGCCACCCACCCAUGAGCAAAGGGGCCCCCAGGAAGUUAAGAAAGAAGAUGGUGACUCUGAAGAAGACAGUGAAGAUGAGAAGAGAGAACCUGGGCCACCCAGAGCUACAAAAGUGGGAGCAGCUCUAGCCAAAUACACUUAGAUGGUGGUAAUGGAGGAGGAAGAAGAAGAAAUGAAGGAGGAGGAGGAGGGUGGGGAAGAAGAAACAAAGGAAGAAGAAAUGGCGGCGGUGGAGGAGGAGGAGGGUGGGGAAGAAGAAACGAAGGAA